ACAGGAUAUGGGUCAAUGACAGUGUGGGAAGAAACAAGAAAAAUCAAUAACCUACAUUUUAAUGUGAAAUGACAACAUGUUUAACAACAGACUUCCCAGGCAUGCUUCAGGAGAGAAUGCGAGAACAUAAUUUUAGAACCAGAAGGAAACUUAGAGAUGAUGAGAACUUAACACUGGAUUUCACAGGUGAGAAAUGGAGACCCUGACUGGAGAACUUUCUUGGGUCACACAACUAGUUAUCCACUUUCAGCUUGGUCUUCUUUCAAUCUUCAUUUGCCUCCUAAAUAAAAGAUCUGCUG
rnacentral:lncRNA from 10 species